rfam:Ictidomys tridecemlineatus contig010602, whole genome shotgun sequence.
UGAGGUAUAGCUUAGUGGCAGAGCACUUACCUAACAUGUGUGAGGUCCUGGGUUCAAUCUCUAGUAUUAUAA